UACGUAGGGUGCAAGCGUUGUCCGGAAUUAUUGGGCGUAAAGAGCUCGUAGGCGGUUUGUUGCGUCGGCUGUGAAAUCCCGAGGCUCAACCUCGGGUCUGCAGUCGAUACGAGCAAACUAGAGUGUUGCAGGGGAGACUGGAAUUCCUGGUGUAGCGGUGAAAUGCGCAGAUAUCUGGAGGAACACCGGUGGCGAAGGCGGCGUUCUGGACUGUUUCUGACACUGAAAAACGAAAGCCAGGGGAGCAAACGGG
rnacentral:rRNA from 1 species